rnacentral:rRNA from 1 species
UUUUCUGCCACCGAAUACAUUAGCAUGGGAUAAUGGAAUAGGACCCUGUCCUCCUAUUUUCAGUUGGUUUUGGCAGCGCGAGGACUAGGGUAAUGAUUAAUAGGGAUAGUUGGGGGCAUUAAUAUUUAAUUGUCAGAGGUGAAAUUCUUGGAUUUAUGAAAGAUUAACUUCUGCGAAAGCAUCUGCCAAGGAUGUUUUCAUUAAUCAAGAACGAAAGUUAGGGGAUCGAAGACGAUCAGAUACCGUCGUAGUCUUAACCAUAAACGAUGCCGACCAGCGAUUAGGAGACGUUGAAUACAAAACACCACCAUCGGCGCGGUCGUCCUUGGCGUCUCGGUCCUUCACGGGGCCGGGGCGCGGGGGCGGCUUAGCCCGGUGGCACCGGUGAAUGACUCCCCUAGCAGCUUGUGAG